AUUGAACGCUGGCGGCAGGCCUAACACAUGCAAGUCGAGCGGAGCGGCGGACGGGUGAGUAAUGCCUAGGAAUCUGCCUGGGCGUGGGGGAUAACGUCAGGAAACGGGCGCUAAUACCGCAUACUAUCAGAUGAGCCGAGGUCGGAUUAGCUAGUUGGUGGGGUAAAGGCCUACCAAGGCGACGAUCCGUACCGGGUCUGAGAGGAUGAUCAGUCACACUGGAACUGAGACACGGUCCAGACUCCUACGGGAGGCAGCAGUGGGGAAUAUUGGACAAUGGGCGCAAGCCUGAUACAGCCAUGCCGCGUGUAUGAAGAAGGUCUUCGGAUUGUAAAGUACUUUAAGUUGGGAGGCGUUACCAGCAGAAUAAGCACCGGCUAACUUCGUGCCAGCAGCCGCGGUAAUAC
rnacentral:rRNA from 1 species